CAGCGCUGAAAGUACCUGCGGGGGGAGGAAGGGGGGGGGAGAACGCACAGGGCCUGCGCGCACCUCCCCGCGGCGAAGCUCCAACCCGCCAAUCAAAAGCGUCGCUGGACGCAGGCGCGCUACGCGCUGACUCGGCCAAGAUGGCGACGCCCAGCUGGCUUCUACUCCGGUGACAGUUCCGGGCGUCUCUAGCUAGCUUCCCUCAACAUGUUCCUUCUCCGAGGCCGUGGCCAUUGGGCCGCAGCGUCCCUCGGCAGACGGCUGCCUUUGCGUCGCCUCCGCAGCGACAGCGCGGCGCCCUGCACCCCGCACUUCGACGUGGUAGUUAUCGGAGGAGGGCACGCGGGGACCGAGGCGGCCGCCGCCGCCGCUCGCUGUGGCUCGCGGACCCUGCUUCUCACGCACCGCGUGGACACGAUCGGUCAGAUGUCCUGUAAUCCUUCCUUUGGUGGCAUCGGAAAGGGGCAUUUGAUGAGAGAAGUGGAUGCCUUGGAUGGUCUGUGUUCCCGGAUCUGUGACCAGUCUGGUAUACAUUACAAAGUGCUAAACCGGCGUAAGGGCCCUGCUGUGUGGGGACUGAGAGCACAGAUUGACCGGAAACUUUAUAAACAGAACAUGCAGAAAGAAAUCCUGAGCACGCCCCUACUCACUGUUCAGAAGGGAGCUGUAGAAGAUCUAGUUCUUGCAGAACCAGAGCCUGGGUACCCUGGGAAGUCCAGGGUCAGAGGUGUUGUCCUGGCAGAUGGAAGUACAAUUUAUGCAGAGAGUGUAAUUCUGACUACUGGGACAUUUCUGAGAGGCAUGAUCAUAAUUGGAUUGGAGAUGCAUCCUGCAGGACGUUUGGGGGAUCAGCCCUCCAUAGGGUUGGCUCAGACUCUGGAGAAGUUGGGAUUUAUGGUAGGAAGACUAAAGACUGGAACUCCACCCCGACUCGCUAAAGAGUCCAUUAAUUUCUCCAUUCUAAACAAGCACACACCAGAUGAUCCAUCCAUACCAUUCAGCUUUCUCAGUGACAGCGUGUGGAUCAAGCCGGAAGACCAACUGCCAUGUUACUUGACUCACACCAACCCCCGAGUGGAUGCGAUUGUCCUUGAGAACCUUCACCUGAAUAGCCACGUUCAGGAAACUACAAAAGGGCCCCGAUACUGUCCCUCUAUUGAAUCAAAGGUUUUACGUUUUCCAAAUCGUCUGCAUCAGGUUUGGUUGGAGCCUGAAGGAAUGGAUUCCGACCUCAUCUACCCGCAAGGGUUAUCUGUUACACUGCCAGCUGAGUUACAGGAGAAAAUGAUAACAUGCAUCAGAGGCUUGGAGAAAGCCAAAAUGGUUCACCCAGGCUAUGGUGUGCAGUAUGAUUAUUUAGACCCCCGUCAGAUCAGUCCUUCCCUCGAGACACACUUGGUUCAGCGGCUGUUCUUUGCUGGACAGAUAAAUGGAACCACUGGCUAUGAGGAAGCUGCAGCUCAGUCCUCUUCUAGGGGGUGAUAGCUGGAAUCAAUGCCAGUCUACGAGUCAGUCGAAAGCCACCCUUUGUUGUGAGUCGCACAGAAGGCUACAUAGGAGUCUUGAUUGAUGACCUCACUACCCUGGGCACCAGUGAGCCAUACCGAAUGUUCACUAGCAGAGUAGAGUUCCGAUUGUCACUGCGCCCCGAUAAUGCUGACACCCGGCUCACGUUCCGAGCCCAUAAGGAAGCUGGCUGUGUGUCCUCACAGCGAUUUGAAAGAGCUUUGUGGAUGAAGUCAUCUUUAGAAGAAGGUAUUUCUGUGUUGAAAUCCAUUAAAUUUUCAAGCUCCAAAUGGAAAAAGUUAAUUCCACAAAUUCCUAUAAGUAUUAAUAGAAGCCUUCCUGUCAGUGCUCUGGAUGUUCUUAAGUAUGAAGAAGUGGACAUGGAGUCGCUCGUCGGCGUGCUUCCCGAGCCCUUGGAGAAGUAUACUGCAUGUAGAGAGCUCGCCAGAAGACUGAAAAUAGAAGCCAGUUAUGAGUCAGUAUUGUCAUAUCAGCUACAAGAAAUAAAGGAGGUUCAGCAAGAUGAAGCUUUGCAGCUUCCACACGAGCUCGACUACCUAACCAUCAGGGAUGUGUCAUUGUCCCAGGAAGUCCGGGAGAAGCUACACUUGAGUCGCCCACAGACGAUUGGGGCUGCUAGUCGUAUUCCUGGAGUGACACCAGCUGCCAUCAUCAAUCUGCUCAGAUUUGUGAGGAGCACGCGGCAGAGCAGACAGCAGUGACAGAACGCCAGGCCAAUCGGUGCUUGUGAACUUUCAUUUCAUAGAGGACUUAGAGUGAGGGCUUAGGGCAAUGGUUUUCAGCCCCGUAAAACAGUUCCUUGUGUUGUGGUGAGCCCCAAACACACAAUUAUUUCAUUCCUACUUCAUACUGUUACGAAUCAUAAUGUAAAUAUCUAAUAUUCAAUCCCUGUGGGAGUCUCAAGCCAUGGGCUGAGAACCGCUGGCUUAGAGAGUAUGAAUAGGAAAUAAAGAUGACACUGAAAAUACUGUUGUUAGGUGA